rnacentral:rRNA from 1 species
GAAUCCGGGAGGACCAUCUCCCAAGGCUAAAUACUCCCUAGUGACCGAUAGUGAACCAGUACCGUGAGGGAAAGGUGAAAAGCACCCCGGAAGGGGAGUGAAACAGUUCCUGAAACCGUGUGCCUACAAGUAGUUAGAGCCCGUUAAUGGGUGAUAGCGUGCCUUUUGUAGAAUGAACCGGCGAGUUACGAUUUGUUGCAAGGUUAAGCGGAAAAAGCGGAGCCGUAGCGAAAGCGAGUCUGAAUAGGGCGCAUAAGUAACAGGUCGUAGACCCGAAACCAGGUGAUCUACCCAUGUCCAGGAUGAAGGUAAGGUAAUACUUACUGGAGGUCCGAACCCACGCACGUUGAAAAGUGCGGGGAUGAGGUGUGGGUAGCGGAGAAAUUCCAAUCGAACUUGGAGAUAGCUGGUUCUCUCCGAAAUAGCUUUAGGGCUAGCCUCGAGGUAAAGAGUCAUGGAGGUAGAGCACUGUUUGGACUAGGGGCCCUUCUCGGGUUACCGAAUUCAGAUAAACUCCGAAUGCCAUGUACUUAUACUCGGGAGUCAGACUGCGAGUGAUAAGAUCCGUAGUCGAAAGGGAAACAGCCCAGACCACCAGUUAAGGUCCCCAAAUAUAUGUUAAGUGGAAAAGGAUGUGGGGUUGCUUAGACAACCAGGAUGUUGGCUUAGAAGCAGCCACCAUUGAAAGAGUGCGUAAUAGCUCACUGGUCGAGUGACCCCGCGCCGAAAAUGUACCGGGGCUAAACAUAUUACCGAAACUGUGGAUGAACCUCUUUAGAGGUUCGUGGUAGGAGAGCGUUCUAAGGGCGGUGAAGUCAGACCGGAAGGACUGGUGGAGCGCUUAGAAGUGAGAAUGCCGGUAUGAGUAGCGAAAGAAGGG